rnacentral:rRNA from 1 species
AAGUCGUAACAAGGUUUCCGUAGGUGAACCUGCGGAAGGAUCAUUACAUUAUGUGCUUUUUUAGCCUUGUCGGGUGGCUAUUCUUGUAAUAGCGCCUGCCUGAAUCCGUGUCUUUUGCGUACUACAUGUUUCCUUGGUAGGUUUGCCUGCCAGUUGGACCAUCUAUAACCAUUUGCAAUUGCAAUCAGCGUCUGAAAACUAUGAUAAUUACAACUUUCAACAACGGAUCUCUUGGUUCUGGCAUCGAUGAAGAACGCAGCGAAAUGCGAUAAGUAGUGUGAAUUGCAGAAUUCAGUGAAUCAUCGAAUCUUUGAACGCACAUUGCGCCCCUUGGUAUUCCAUGGGGCAUGCCUGUUCGAGCGUCAUUUGUACUCUCAAGCUUUGCUUGGUGUUGGGUGCUUGUCCUUUCCUUGUGUAUGGACUCGCCCUAAAGUCAUUGGCAGCCGGCGUAUUGGCCUUGGAGCGCAGCACAUUUUGCGUUUCUUGUCGAUAGAUGCUGGUAUCCAUCAAGCACUCUAUCACUUUUGACCUCGGAUCAGGUAGGGAUACCCGCUGAACUUAAGCAUAUCAAUAAGCGGAGGAAAAGAAACCAACAGGGAUUGCCCUAGUAACGGCGAGUGAAGCGGCAACAGCUCAAAUUUGAAAUCUGGCUCUUUUAGAGUCCUAGUUGUAAUUUGCAGAGGGCGCUUUGGUUUUGGCAGCGGUCCAAGUUCUUUGGAACAGGACGUCACAGAGGGUGAGAAUCCCGUACGUGAUCGCUAGCCUUCACCGUGUAAAGCCCCUUCGACGAGUCGAGUUGUUUGGGAAUGCAGCUCUAAAUGGGAGGUAAAUUUCUUCUAAAGCUAAAUACUGGCCAGAGACCGAUAGCGCACAAGUAGAGUGAUCGAAAGAUGAAAAGCACUUUGGAAAGAGAGUCAAACAGCACGUGAAAUUGUUGAAAGGGAAGCGCUUGCAGCCAGACUUGCCUGUAGUUGUUUAUCUAGACUUUUGUCUGGUGCACUCUUCUAUAGGCAGGCCAGCAUCAGUUUGGGCGGUUGGAUAAAGGUCUCUGUCACGUACCCUUCUUCGGAAGGGCCUUACAGGGGAGACGACAUGCAACCAGCCUGAACUGAGGUCCGCGCAUCUGCUAGGAUGCUGGCGUAAUAGCUGUAAGCGGC